rnacentral:rRNA from 1 species
CAGUCGCCACGGGAAUACAGAGGGUGCGAGCGUUAAUCGGAUUUACUGGGCGUAAAGCGUGCGUAGGCGGCUUUUUAAGUCGGAUGUGAAAUCCCUGAGCUUAACUUAGGAAUUGCAUUCGAUACUGGGAAGCUAGAGUAUGGGAGAGGAUGGUAGAAUUCCAGGUGUAGCGGUGAAAUGCGUAGAGAUCUGGAGGAAUACCGAUGGCGAAGGCAGCCAUCUGGCCUAAUACUGACGCUGAGGUACGAAAGCAUGGGGAGCAAACAGGAUUAGAUACCCCCGUAGUCCCUGUCUAUUAUAC